rnacentral:misc_RNA from 1 species
GAUGAAGAACGCAGCGAAAUGCGAUAAGUAAUGUGAAUUGCAGAAUUCAGUGAAUCAUCGAAUCUUUGAACGCACAUUGCGCCCCUUGGUAUUCCGGGGGGCAUGCCUGUUCGAGCGUCAUUUCAACCCUCAAGCUUCUGCUUGGUCUUGGGCCGUGCCGGCAACGGCUGGCCUUAAAACUAGUGGCGGUGCCAUCGAGCUCUACGCGUAGUAAUUCUAUCUCGCGUCUGGGCUUCGGUGGACGCUGGCCAGCAACCCCCAAUUUUCUAUGGUUGACCUCGGAUCAGGUAGGGAUACCCGCUGAACUUAAGCAUAUCAAUAAGCGGAGGA